CCUACGGGAGGCAGCAGUGAGGAAUAUUGGUCAAUGGACGAGAGUCUGAACCAGCCAAGUAGCGUGAAGGAUGACUGCCCUAUGGGUUGUAAACUUCUUUUAUAAAGGAAUAAAACGAGGCACGUGUGCCUUUUUGCAUGUACUUUAUGAAUAAGGAUCGGCUAACUCCGUGCCAGCAGCCGCGGUAAUACGGAGGAUCCGAGCGUUAUCCGGAUUUAUUGGGUUUAAAGGGAGCGUAGAUGGGGUGUUAAGUCAGUUGUGAAAGUUUGCGGCUCAACCGUAAAAUUGCAAUUGAUACUGGCAGUCGUGAGUACAGUUGAGGUAGGCGGAAUUCGUGGUGUAGCGGUGAAAUGCUUAGAUAUCACGAAGAACCCCGAGUGCGAAGGCAGCUUACUAAACUGUGACUGACAUUGAUGCGCGAAAGUGUGGGUAUCAAACAGGAUUAGAUACCCUAGUAGUC
rnacentral:rRNA from 1 species